UCACACGUGUUCAAAAUCUUUUUUAAAAAAAAAAAAAAAACACUGCCGUUUGCUGUUAUUUAUUUAUCAAUCUUUAUUCGCGAUCAUCCGCGAUCUCGGUUGCUUUCGAUAUGAUUUAGGUAUUCGCGGAACGAUGGUACGAGAGGAAAACGAAAAAAAAACGAAAAAAAAAAAGAAAGGCGAGACGAAGUGGAAGCGACGAAAAGAAGAACGAAGAAACGGACCCGUGGGACAGAAGUGCGCGCGCGACUCGUAUUUUGUUGUCUCAGCAAUUUGUGCGCCUAGUCAGUGAAGCGGCUCGGGUGUCUCCGACUAUUCACUCGGGAAUCUUCGCCCUCGGAAAGUGGUGCGUCAGGGAACUGAAGAAUUCCCGCAUUCCAACGCAGACAAUUAACGAAUGGUACCGAGAAACCGUUUCUUGCAUUAUCCACGACCCACAUAUUCCUGCGUUUGCCACGAGAUUUGAAUGAGGUUAAAGAAAUUCGACGAUGCAGCUUCACGUUUACAAAAACCAGUUUUAAUGGCCUCUCUGAGACUGUGAGAUCCAAGGAAUUGGCUAAGAUUUCUCGACGUAUCUAUGUACAGCUGCUUUAAACGAACGUUACUGCAAUGCGUCUUUAUAUGGAACUUUGAAUUGGCCUUAGACGUAAAUAAAUGAAAUUACAGGUUAAAAAGUAUGCUGUACUUGUCGAGGAAUUUCGAAACGUCGGUACAAUAUUCAUAUGUCGAUGGAUUGAAGAACUCGAUUUUAAAAUGAAUUUGUAACUCAAGCGAUGACUAAUUGCCGAAAACCUCUGAUUACAUAUCUGUGAUAUGUAUUAGAUUUUCAAAA